AUGCGAUCCGAGCUCCAGGCGAAGAGGGUGGAGGAGGCCGUGAGGUUGAGUUUGUUCGAGUAUCUCCUCGCCCUCUUCAGCCCUCCGCCGCCUCCUCUCGUGACCGCCAAACCACCCGUGGAGGAGGAGGAGGAGUCAGAGUAUGUAGAUUUGAUCGGGAUGGACGCCGAGGAUGAAUAUUACGACGCGGAUGAGGAAUGGAUCAAGGAGGUCAUGGAGACAUCGAAUGAUUUUGAUGGGGAUUUGACUGAUGGUAACGCUACGGAUGCCACGAAAGAACCCGAGGUUAAACCGGAUGAGACUAACCCGGGAGAAACGGAGUCGAGCGAUGAUAAGCCAGCUGAUCGGAUGCCGGAUGGUGACAAACCAGCCGAUGAUAAAACGAAUGACCAAAGCGAUAACGCCAAACCAGCGGACGAUAAAGCAACUGGUCAGAAACCGGCUGACGCUAAACCGAUGGAUGAGAAACCCGAUGGCGCCAAACCAGCGGACGAUAAAGCAACUAGUCAGAAACUGGCUGACGCUAAACCGAUAGAUGAGAAACCGGAUGAUGCUAAACCAGCAGAUAAGACAUCGGAUGACGUCAAACUAGCUGCGGAUAAACCGAUAGGCCAAAUACCGGCUGAUGCCAAAGCAGCAGAUCAGGAAACGGCUGACGCCAAAGCAGCAGAUCAGGAAACGGCUGACGCCAAAGCAGCAGAUCAGGAAACGGCUGACGCCAAAGUAGCAAAUCAGAUGCCAGCUGACGCCAAAGCAGCAGAUCAAAAACUGAAUGACACCAAAGCAGUAUAUCAGAAACCGGAUAACGCUAAAGCAGCAGACCAGAAACCGGAUGUGAGCAAACCCACCGAGGUCAAACCAGUCGGGAAGAAAACACUCGUCGAAAUGAAUGUCAAGAAAGACGACAAGAAGCCAGGAGACGUCAAGUUAGAAGAGUCGAAACGAGAAGACCUUAAACAGGAUGACGUUAAACUGAGAGCCCCCGAAAGCACCCCCAAAGUCGAAUUGAAAACCGUCGACCAAAACUUACCGAUCGAAAGCUUGAGCGCCCUACUAACGACCUCAAAAGAGAUCGAGGAAUCUAUCGCUCAUUUGAAACGCGUCAUAAACACUGCCAGACUUCCCCAGAUAAAACGGGUCGAAAUUCGAUGGAAAGACAAGCUUUCCUGGGAAAUCUGGGCUACGGCGGAGUCGCCGGCCUCUUCGAUCCGAUGUUGA
rnacentral:lncRNA from 1 species